rnacentral:lncRNA from 1 species
AACAAACCCUAAAAGCACUUUUACAGAAAAAUAAAAUAAAACGCAAUUAAACAAAAAUAAAACAAAAAUAAUUACAACCAAGUCAAAUUCAGUCAAUCCACACUACUUAAAAAAGUAAACCUCGAGUCCCCGGCAACGGCGCCAAAAUCUUGUUAACGGAUUGGCAAGCGUACCAAAUUGUAUCAAGUAAUAAUAAAUGGUAAGACCAAGUAUAGUUUU